rnacentral:rRNA from 1 species
AGAGUUUGAUCCUGGCUCAGGAUGAACGCUAGCUACAGGCUUAACACAUGCAAGUCGAGGGGCAGCAUGUUGGUUGCUUGCAACCAAUGAUGGCGACCGGCGCACGGGUGAGUAACGCGUAUCCAACCUACCCUUGUCCAUCGGAUAACCCGUCGAAAGGCGGCCUAACACGAUAUGCGGUUCACAGCAGGCAUCUAAGGUGAACGAAAUGUGAAGGAGAAGGAUGGGGAUGCGUCUGAUUAGCUUGUUGGCGGGGUAACGGCCACCAAGGCUACGAUCGAGUAGGGGUUCUGGAGAGGAAGGUCCCCCACAUUGGAACUGAGACACGGUCCAAACUCCGUACGGAGGCA